CUCACCCACCCCGCCCAUACCCUCCUCUACCGUACCCGCUGCCCGCGCCGAUCUGCCCCGUGCCGUUCCGCCCGCACCCGCGCAUGCUCCGCCUCACCGUAUCCUGACGCCCCGCCAGCAAGGGGACGCCUUCCGUUGGACCACAUGGUGCUCAGCUUGAUGAAGGACGCCGCGACUGUCGAGCAGCCACCGCGGGGGCGCUGCAACUGCUUCGACGGCACCAACCACGAGGAGAGCGGAAAUGUAUAUGAGAGGAGACGCACAGCAACCAACUGAACAAGAAGCCAUCGCCAAGCACGCGCAUCGGCCGCGCCCACGAUCCAGCAGUUACCUUUAUUUCAAUUCGUGUGUAAUCAGUUGUAAACAAGAACCUAUAACUAUUGUAUUCAGAGGUUAAUGCAAGUUAAGCUAGAGAUCAAUCUGAUCUCUGGGCGCCUGUGUC